AAAUUGAAGAGUUUGAUCAUGGCUCAGAUUGAACGCUGGCGGCAGGCCUAACACAUGCAAGUCGAGCGGUAGCACAGAGAGCUUGCUCUCGGGUGACGAGCGGCGGACGGGUGAGUAAUGUCUGGGAAACUGCCUGAUGGAGGGGGAUAACUACUGGAAACGGUAGCUAAUACCGCAUAAUGUCGCAAGACCAAAGUGGGGGACCUUCGGGCCUCAUGCCAUCAGAUGUGCCCAGAUGGGAUUAGCUAGUAGGUGGGGUAACGGCUCACCUAGGCGACGAUCCCUAGCUGGUCUGAGAGGAUGACCAGCCACACUGGAACUGAGACACGGUCCAGACUCCUACGGGAGGCAGCAGUGGGGAAUAUUGCACAAUGGGCGCAAGCCUGAUGCAGCCAUGCCGCGUGUGUGAAGAAGGCCUUCGGGUUGUAAAGCACUUUCAGCGGGGAGGAAGGCGUUAAGGUUAAUAACCUUGGCGAUUGACGUUACCCGCAGAAGAAGCACCGGCUAACUCCGUGCCAGCAGCCGCGGUAAUACGGAGGGUGCAAGCGUUAAUCGGAAUUACUGGGCGUAAAGCGCACGCAGGCGGUCUGUCAAGUCGGAUGUGAAAUCCCCGGGCUCAACCUGGGAACUGCAUUCGAAACUGGCAGGCUAGAGUCUUGUAGAGGGGGGUAGAAUUCCAGGUGUAGCGGUGAAAUGCGUAGAGAUCUGGAGGAAUACCGGUGGCGAAGGCGGCCCCCUGGACAAAGACUGACGCUCAGGUGCGAAAGCGUGGGGAGCAAACAGGAUUAGAUACCCUGGUAGUCCACGCCGUAAACGAUGUCGAUUUGGAGGUUGUGCCCUUGAGGCGUGGCUUCCGGAGCUAACGCGUUAAAUCGACCGCCUGGGGAGUACGGCCGCAAGGUUAAAACUCAAAUGAAUUGACGGGGGCCCGCACAAGCGGUGGAGCAUGUGGUUUAAUUCGAUGCAACGCGAAGAACCUUACCUGGUCUUGACAUCCACAGAACUUAGCAGAGAUGCUUUGGUGCCUUCGGGAACUGUGAGACAGGUGCUGCAUGGCUGUCGUCAGCUCGUGUUGUGAAAUGUUGGGUUAAGUCCCGCAACGAGCGCAACCCUUAUCCUUUGUUGCCAGCGGUUCGGCCGGGAACUCAAAGGAGACUGCCAGUGAUAAACUGGAGGAAGGUGGGGAUGACGUCAAGUCAUCAUGGCCCUUACGACCAGGGCUACACACGUGCUACAAUGGCAUAUACAAAGAGAAGCGACCUCGCGAGAGCAAGCGGACCUCAUAAAGUAUGUCGUAGUCCGGAUUGGAGUCUGCAACUCGACUCCAUGAAGUCGGAAUCGCUAGUAAUCGUAGAUCAGAAUGCUACGGUGAAUACGUUCCCGGGCCUUGUACACACCGCCCGUCACACCAUGGGAGUGGGUUGCAAAAGAAGUAGGUAGCUUAACCUUCGGGAGGGCGCUUACCACUUUGUGAUUCAUGACUGGGGUGAAGUCGUAACAAGGUAACCGUAGGGGAACCUGCGGUUGGAUCACCUCCUUACCUUAAAGAA
rnacentral:rRNA from 1 species